rnacentral:rRNA from 1 species
UGCGGUGAAUACGUUCCCGGGCCUUGUACACACCGCCCGUCAAGCCAUGGAAGCUGGGGGUACCUGAAGUACGUAACCGCAAGGAGCGUCCUAGGGUAAAACCGGUAACUGGGGCU